rnacentral:rRNA from 1 species
AGCGUUUAUGACCAGACUUGGGCUUGGUUAAUCAUCUGGGGUUCUCCCCAGUGCACUUUUCCAGUCCAGGCCAGCAUCAGUUUUCCCCGGGGGAUAAAGACUUCGGGAAUGUGGCACUCUUCGGGGUGUGUUAUAGCCC